rnacentral:rRNA from 1 species
UACGUAGGGGGCGAGCGUUAUCCGGAAUUAUUGGGCGUAAAGGGCACGCAGGCGGUCCUGCACGUGGAUGGUGACAGCUCCUGGCUUAACUGGGAGAGUGCCUUCCAAACGACAGGACUUGAGAGCGAGAGAGGGAUACGGAACUCCAGGUGGAGCAGUGAAAUGCGUAGAGAUCUGGAGGAAUACCGAUGGCGAAGGCAGCCUUCUGGCCUAAUACUGACGCUGAGGUGCGAAAGCAUGGGGAGCAAACAGG